rnacentral:rRNA from 1 species
GCUCCAAUAGCGUAUAUUAAAGUUGUUGCAGUUAAAAAGCUCGUAGUUGAAAAUCUGGUUGUAUUGGGCUCCUGCACUCGAUGCGUGAGUACCAGCAGCCAUCCGCUUGCAAGUACAUGUCCUUCCUUAACCGGUAGGCUGUAUGAGUAAGCAAUUUACCUUGAGAAAAACAGAGUGUUCCAGGCAGGUUUGUCCGGAAU